UCGCCGACGAUGUCGAGGUUUCAAGCCCACAUUCCGCCGGCGUGUUCGCUAGUUCCUUCCCUCCGUCAGCCGGCGCGUUUAAGGAAACCCUAGUUCCCUACAUGAAACCUCUCCUCGAAUUCUUCUCCCAAAUCAAGUCCCCUUUCUACAUAAACACGUAUCCAUUUCUCGCAUACAUCAGUGACCCCGAACACAUCGAUAUCAAUUACGCAAUCUUCAAAAAGAAUGCAGGAAUAGAAGACGCGAAAACGAAAUUACAUUACGACAACAUGUUCGAAGCACAAAUCGAUGCGACUUACGCUGCUUUAGAAAAAGCUGGAUUUGAGAAGAUGGAGGUUAUAGUAUCGGAAACCGGAUGGGCUUCAAAAGGUGAUGCGAAUGAAGCCGGAGCCACCUUGAGUAAUGCGAGAACGUAUAACCUCAACUUACGUAAAAGACUCCUGA
rnacentral:lncRNA from 1 species